GCACCCGUAGCUCAGCUGGAUAGAGUACCGCCCUCCGAAGGCGGUGGUCACUGGUUCGAAUCCAGUCGGGUGCACCA
rnacentral:tRNA from 2 species